UACAGAGGUCCCAAGCGUUGUUCGGAUUCAUUGGGCGUAAAGAGCGUGUAGGCGGCCAGGUAGGUCGGUUGUGAAAACUGGAGGCUCAACCUUCAGAGGUCGACCGAAACCAUCUGGCUAGAGUCCGGGAGAGGAGAGUGGAAUUCCUGGUGUAGCGGUGAAAUGCGCAGAUAUCAGGAGGAACACCUAUAGCGAAGGCAGCUUGCUGGGACGUUACUGACGCUAAGGCGCGAAAGCGUGGGGAGCGAACAGG
rnacentral:rRNA from 1 species